rnacentral:lncRNA from 1 species
AUACUCUCAGCCCACUUAAAGGCUUACCGUUACCAAACUUGAUUAAGUUACCCUCUUUUUAGACGACUGUCCAUCAUGUCAAUUAAAAAGCCACCUGGAAUUAAAAAAUUAAAAAUUUCUGCUCUCUUCUCUCCUCGUCUGCCUUGCUUUUGGUUCCUGUAAAAUAUCGCAAGGAAGUUCUUCGUCUCAGAUUAGAUUCCAUUGUGGUAUGAUAGCCAGCCACUUAACUUCCACAAUUGAUUCUAAUCCUGGGAAGGAAGUUCUAUAAAUGCCUUAAGCCUAAGAUUUGUUGUUGAUGUUGUAAAGUUUAAAUUUUGUAUGAAAUAAGCUUUUAGUCAAGUCUUAAGUGUGAUUUCAUACUAUUGACAGAUUUAUUCAUGUGGGUAUUGGGAGUGGGAAGAUGAAGUUUACCCAGAUUCACCUAUAAAUGCAAUCCGAGAAUUGGGUGUUGUUAAGUUAGACAUUGAGAAAUUGAAGCAAGAAGUAACUGCCAUGGAGGUUACAAAUCAUUCUCAAGUGGUUAAAGUUUCAACCUUGGAAGAAAAAGUAUCAAAGAUGUCGCUCCUUCUCUUGAUUUCAUCGGCACUUUUUCUGGGUUUCAUUGCAGCUUCAACGGCGAAGUGAUUGUCUUAGGAGUCGUUCAUUUAUGUUGUUUGUUGUUUUGUUAUGUUAGCUCUAUUUGGUGUUUAUUCGAUGUAUGUAAUGAUUUCAACUUGUUUGUGUUAAUGCUUAAUGUGUUAAUGCUUAAUGUUAUUGCCAGUGACCAUUAUGUCUGGUUUCAACUUGUUUGUGUCAAUGUUUAAUGUUACUGUUGGUUUCAACUUCUAGUGCAAUGAAUGUUGGUUUGUAAAUCUGUAAUGAAUGAAGCCGCAUAUCUGGACAUAGUUUCAGCAAUAUAACUCAAGAUAUAUGCUAACACAUGACAUCCAUUGUCAACAACAAUUUUAACUAAAAAAGCCAAACACAUAAAUUUAUCAGCAACAUAAUUCAACAACAUUCAACAAGAACUGCCAAAAACUAUCAAGUGCAGUUACAUGGACAAAAGGGAUGUCAUAUUAUAACCCAAAAACCUGUCACCACCCAGGUAAUAAUAUGCAUCCACUGUAACCGUUAAAGAAUCUAAAAUUAAGCUAACAGGACUGUCACAUGCAAUAAUUAGAUUACAUUAGAUGCCAAAAACUAUCACGACAUUCACAUAUUCAGAUUUGUGAAUUGCCAUUUUCUUUUCUUGCCAUCAACUUGGUCAUCCUUUGUCUCUCCAGUUGGUUUCCUGUUAUAUCAACUUUCCCUCUCCAUGUGAGAUUCUUUGGUGAGUAUGGAAGUUGUGUUGGCUCACUCACACCAUUGGCAUCACCAACAAAGCUCACACAACACUCUUUCUAAGUAGAAACCAGUAGAAAAUGAUAAGGGCACUCACAUGAUUCAAAUAAAGUAGAAUAGAAAUGAAUAAAAGAUUUAUGAAAUCCCACACAUUGAAGGAGAUAGUUGUCUGAGCCUCAAUAAACAAAGUAUAUGGGGGACCACAUUAUAAAAUUAAGAAAUCAGUAAUAUCCCACAUUCUUAAAGACACAUGCAUGCCAAAUUGGGGACCAUAUGCCCUCAUUUCUGCUACAACAAUAAUAACUAGUGAAAUACCCCUUUUCCCCAAAUAUAUACAACAAACAACCACUGAAAAUCAUAAACUAAGAAACUCCAGCUUUAGAACUCGUGAAACCCUAAACCAGGAACCACAAUACCACAAAUAAACCCUAAGCCACGAAUCAGAAACAACAAAAACUCAAAAGCUGAUGAGAAAUGGAAUGAAAACAAAAGGAAUAACAAUUACACUGAACUAAAUAACUGGUAGCACCAGAAUCAACACAAAUAUUUACAUUCUAAAAGCCACAUGGAACCGAUAAUCGUCAAGGUACAAACAAAAUCCUAAGAGUAGUAACAUAAACCCUAGAAUAGAAAUCAAGAUAAAUAUAAGAAAUGAAGAAACAAUAGAAGAAGAAAACGAAAUCAAAGUUUAAUAUCAGUAGAAAAGUUGUACCUUUGAAGAAUUUUACAGCCAAGUCGAUAGUAGAACUGCACGCCCAAAAUCGACUAUCCAUUUUUCUCUCAGAACAAUCGAGAAUUAUGACCCUCUUUCUAUAAUAACCGGGUUGAGAAUUUAUAUAUAAAUGAAGAAAACAAGUCUGAGUAACGGGUCACAGGUUAUUUAGUAAUGGAUUGGGUUAAUAAUUUCCAUCGUGUCAUUUUUAU